rnacentral:rRNA from 1 species
UACAGAGGUGGCAAGCGUUGUUCGGAAUUACUGGGCGUAAAGGGCGCGUAGGCGGCCUUGUAAGUCUCGUGUGAAAGCCCUCGGCUUAACUGAGGAUCUGCACGGGAUACUGCGAGGCUUGAGUUCGGGAGAGGAAGGCGGAAUUCCGGGUGUAGCGGUGAAAUGCGUAGAUAUCCGGAGGAACACCAGUGGCGAAGGCGGCUUUCUGGACCGACACUGACGCUGAUGCGCGAAAGCUAGGGGAGCAAACGGG